rnacentral:lncRNA from 1 species
GAACAGUAGGGUAAUUUGGGAAACCUGGAGGGACAUCAGGGUAAUUGAGAAAACCAGGAGGAGCAUCAGGGUAAUUCUCCACUUGUUUCAGUUGACAUUCAGUUAGUAGACCAGGAAGACCAGGAUAAGGUUGAGAAGUUAAUCCUUCUUUUUCUCUCUGGUUUUGCUAGAGCCAUUGAAUUUCUUUACAGCUCUGUUUGUAUUAUGUGGAGAUCUUUUUUUUUUUGAGAAGGUAACGAUUUGUAUUAUAAACCAGUACUUAUGUAGUACUGAAAGCCCCUUACAAAAACGUAUGAAAAUCUAGGAACAAAAACAGCAAGCCUAGCAUAUGAUUCUAAUACUUCUAGGAUUGCUUCUGCAUCUACAGGGGAACUCUUUGUACACCAAAAACAUAAUAACAGAAUACAAUCUGUUUUGAUCAUUUGUAGGGAUCUGCUUCUAUCCUCAAAGCUUCUAGCAUUCCUUUCUCUCCAAAUGGUCCACCAGAUGCAUGC